ensembl:snRNA Rnu6-630 RNA, U6 small nuclear 630
GUGCUCACUUCAGCAGCAUAUAUACUAACAUUGGAAUGAUACAGAGAGAUUAACAUGGCCCCUGUGCCAGGAUGAAGGAGACAGCCCCAUGGUGAUGUUGUGUUCAU